CCUUUCCCAGACCUCAUUUAAGUGUUGGCAGUGGAGGUGAGGAUGUCUCAUCUGGAGCUCCCUGUAUACCUGAAGACUUUAUGGGCCUUCUGAAAACAUCUGAGCAGGCUGGUUUGACAACGGGAGGGCUGCUACCCUCUCCUGCCUUCUUGCUCACUUGCUCUCCAGCUGCUGAACCCUGUGCUGGUUUGGCAGAAACUCUAGCAGGUGGGCAGAGUGAACUACUGAAGGAAGAAGUGGCAAUGUAUUUUGAAAUGCCAAGAGUGGAUGAGCUGGAGCUUGUUUCAUCAUCCUGCUAGGAUACUCAGUGCAUUCUCCUGCUCUUACUUCAUGCAAAACUGAACAAACUCCAGAGCAGAGUCUGUCAGCUGAAACAAACCAUGUCAAUGACAUCUACAUAAAACAACCCAAGAGAUCAAAGCCAUGCAUUUCUGUGGGGACAGCACAUAGAGCUUCAGCUGGAGCCAUCUCCCCAUGUCAGCACUGUGCUCUUCUGACUGUGCUAUGAGCACACAGGAUUCUGGGCUCACAAGCAGACAGGCCUGAUCUUAUGACUGUUGGUACCAAGCGCAGAAGUGUGUGCAGCUUAUAGCCAGUGUGUACAGCCUCAUAGCCCAAACCUUUUGUCAAGUUUCUACCAAAGCAAUGGGCUAAGAACUACUGCAGCUGCAUUUCCUUCAGGAGGUGUCCCUGCAUGUGACAGGAACUCAGCUGGCAUGGUGAGAUGCUGUAACUCCAUGUAUAAUUUUGGGUAGUACAGGCUGAUGUGGUGUCCGUAUUCUCCAAAAUUUAUCUUCCGGCUUUCCUUUGUAUUGCCAUCUCUCUUGUAAAGCACAAACACUUGUGUGGUCACAGUAUGAAACAAGAGAAGGACUGAAAAAGCCUUUUAAAUGUAGCUGCACUGAGUCUGUUCUUUUGACACAAAUCUGCACAGAUUCUUGUGCUGACACCAGCUUUUUUUUUUUUCUUUUCCUGGAAGAAGUUCUCAGAACUCAUGGAACUACUCAGCAAAUAUCCCUGGUUGUGUAUUAAUGGCUUGCUGAUUACUUGCAAUUCCUAGGAUUUGUUUUCUGUGGUAAAAUGUGAGGCAGUUCAUACGUGAGAAGUUUUACUUGAUUAAUUUAGGAACUGAUCUGAGAAUUUACAAACAAAGAGCCUGGUUUAAGUUUCAUAGAAAUGAGGAAGAUUUUAAUUGCUUUGGCAUCCUUUUCUGAAGGUUCCCCCAUGCCUCUCCAGCUCAGAGCUGUAUUAGAAGUUAUUUUUAGGCUGAACAGUCAUAUUUCUAAGUAGUCAGAUGAAAAAUGGCUAAAUAUACAUUCAUUUUAAAUAAAAGAGCAUUUUAGGUAUUUAUAAUCUCUACAGGUAUUUAUAAUCCUUGACGUUAACAGGUAACUCCAUAUGAUAUGUAAUUUUGUAAUUCUGUGACUAUACUUUCAUAUUUAUGCAAAUGAGCUCCUCAGUGCACUGCAGCUGUUUCCUCAACCACAUAAAGUGUUUGCUUGUUGCAGGAAAACAUGCGUAAUUACAUUAGGUUGGCUGCCAAGAAGUAAUAGUGGUAGAAGGAAAACUGAUCAAUCAGACAACCGGUGCAUUGCUUUAUGCUGCAGCACAACUGCUGUUG
ensembl:lncRNA